GUCUGAAAGCAGCUACAGGCCAAUCUGCCCCUGUGCCGUAUAUUAUGAAAUAUCAAACAGGAGAUAUCUAAAGACAUCAUAGAAGCUGUUAAAGCGCCUUUUCUCUGGACAAUUCCCAGAAUGUAUACUUUGAGGAAUUCUUGGAGAUGGAUACAUUCAGAGAUAUAUCAUCUUUGGAUGAGGAUAUUCAGCCUAUUUCAG